CCGGGGCGGGGCUGCUUUUCCUGCCCCCACCCCCCAAGCCCAGCGGUCGGGCCGGCCCCUCCGUCUAGGUACGGCCCUGGCUUGGGCGUGUUCGCUUAGCCCAUUUGGGGGGCAGGGGGGUUUCUGCGCUUAGCUGGGCGCAAAAGCAGCAGCGCGAGACGCGCCCAGGAGCGCGGGGACGUGGGUGCUGCCCCGGAAUCCGGACUCCGAGCAGGAGAAUAGAAGGAAGGCCAAAAAGAAGCACAGACAAGCCAAACAGCUAUUGUUAUAUGCUUAAAAAGGAAAAGCCAGAUGUACAAUUGUGUAUAGAGAUCUGCAGAAUCAUGCAUGAGAUAUUCUAUUCUGCUAUGUAUGUGAAAAUGUCUACUUUAUUUGGCAGGAGCACUUUUAAGUUGGCAGUAAUACAGCUAAGCUCUGAACAAGGAGAAGGGGAGACGGACAGCUGCAGUAACUGAGUCCACACGAGCUGAGCUCAAAGGAACCUUCAUGUCCCUGUGCGUGUAUCCUUACAGCGCUCACAGAACUCCAGAUUCUCCGUGGUGUUGGCGGAGAUAUGGACAUGUUUGCAGGCAGCAGAGAAGGAACCAGUGGAUAAAGGAAGAAAGAGGAUGAUCUAAAUGGCAGGCUUUCAGAAGAUAAAGAAGAGGAUGGGAUCAAGGGUAUAAGUUGAGAGGUUAACAUUUGCAAAUGUGAAUAAGCAUCUCCUGCAAGAUUGGAGCAAAGCAGAGUUGGGAAUCUUGUUGAGGUGAUAUGGAGUGUAGAGAUGGGGAGAAGAGAAGGAGUGCCUCAUUCUUCCAGUCAAAUAUUUGUCUCCUUUCUCUUUGUCUGUCUUUGAAUUAGUUGUCCUCCAUACUUGAAAUGCAUUCGCUUCUCACUUCUGCUUCAUCGAAUCCCUAGCUUCCUUCAAAUCAGAGCCCAUAUGGUUGUCACCUCCUACAGAGGGUCCAGUUGCUAAGUGCUUAUCCCACUCUACCCUCAGUUUCUUGUGGCCUUCCCAGAAAUGACUUUGUGUAUUUUGAAUUGUCUGAAUCAUGCCCUUUCUCCACCAUUCCCCAACCCUUCCCCUCCUCCUCCCCCCCAGUAGAAUGCAAGCUUUUCAAGAUUAAGGCCUGCUUUUGUUGUUGUUUUUUUGUUUGUUUGUUUUUGGUCUUUAUGUUCCCAACACCUCACACAAAGCUUGAAAUAUACUAGGAAAUUUAGUGUUGUUGUUUGUCCUUCAUUUUUUGAAGAAGACCAAUGGCAUCAUGGGGUGGCAUCUUGACCUCCCCCUGAAUUACAUUUCUUUUUUUUCUUUUUUUCUUUUGGUAAAUAUUUUA